rnacentral:rRNA from 1 species
AGUGAACGCUGGCGGUAGGCCUAACACAUGCAAGUCGAACGGCAGCACAGUAAGAGCUUGCUCUUACGGGUGGCGAGUGGCGGACGGGUGAGGAAUACAUCGGAAUCUACUUUUUCGUGGGGGAUAACGUAGGGAAACUUACGCUAAUACCGCAUACGACCUACGGGUGAAAGCAGGGGAUCUUCGGACCUUGCGCGAGUGAAUGAGCCGAUGUCGGAUUAGCUAGUUGGCGGGGUAAAGGCCCACCAAGGCGACGAUCCGUAGCUGGUCUGAGAGGAUGAUCAGCCACACUGGAAGUGAGACACGGUCCAGACUCCUACGGGAGGCAGCAGUGGGGAAUAUUGGACGAUGGGCGAAAGCCUGAUACAGCCAUACCGCGUGAGUGAAGAAGGCCUUCGGGUUGUAAAGCCCUUUUGUUGGGAAAGAAAAGCAGCAGGUUAAUACCCCGCUGUUCUGACGGUACCCAAAGAAUAAGCACCGGCUAACUUCGUG